rnacentral:lncRNA from 1 species
UCACGACUCCUCCUCAGCAGCACCGGAGGAAAUUAUUGAAAAAUGGCGGGAGAUUCCCCUCCUCCCCCGGGCCCGGCCAACGCACACACUAACUUGCUCCCCCGUGGCGCCGGUGGCGAAUGCUCCAAUAGGCGGAGAGCUGGUCAGCGCUCACAGCCUAUUGGCUCGGAGGAGCUGCCGCUCCGCGCCUGGGUCCCGCCCCCCUGCCCCUGUCGCGUAGUUGGGUUGCAGCGCACUAGAGGGCAGUCUGAAGAGGUGAAAGGUCACGUUAUGUAAGCGCCCGUGAUAGGCGUGCGGGCCUCCG